rnacentral:tRNA from 1 species
GGUCGUUUAGCUCAGUUGGUUUAGAGCGCCGCCUUGACAGGGCGGAGGUCACUGGUUCGAAUCCAGUAACGACCACUA